rnacentral:rRNA from 1 species
UACAGAGGGUGCGAGCGUUGUCCGGAAUAACUGGGCGUAAAGGGUGCGUAGGCGGGUCUUUAAGUCAGGGGUGAAAUCCUGGAGCUCAACUCCAGAACUGCCUUUGAUACUGAAGAUCUUGAGUUCGGGAGAGGUGAGUGGAACUGCGAGUGUAGAGGUGAAAUUCGUAGAUAUUCGCAAGAACACCAGUGGCGAAGGCGGCUCACUGGCCCGAUACUGACGCUGAGGCACGAAAGCGUGGGGAGCAAACAGG